GGAUGUAAAUCGCAAACCUGGCCGAAAGGCAGGGACGCAAAGCCACGGAUCUAAAAUUCUUAACGGAAUCAUGACCGCCGGGAUGCCAAC
rnacentral:ncRNA from 1 species